GUGCCAGGCUGGUUUCUGACCUCGCUUUCCUCUUGCAGGAAUCCUUUUCCGAGCACUUGGGGUUCACUGGAGGUAUCGUGCAAGGCCUGGAUUUGUACCGCGCCUCGGGCAAAUUCGAGCUCCUAGACAGGAUCCUCCCCAAACUGCGAGCCACCAACCACAAGGUGCUGCUCUUCUGCCAGAUGACCUCCCUCAUGACCAUCAUGGAAGAUUAUUUUGCUUACCGUGGAUUCAAAUACCUCAGGCUGGACGGUGAGUGCCUGCGCCCCGCGGGGCCGGCAGCCGCCCCCGGGGCUUGACGUUAAAGCUCUGGCCUGGGGCCGAAGCGAGGUGAGCGGGGACGGAGGUAAGGUGACGGCCGGGCCCCCUUCCAGCAGCCCGAGGAGCAGAGAAACGGCGCGGCGUCGAGCAGUAAGAAAGCUGAAAGGGAGCAGGGUACAGAAUAAACGUCCUCGAGGGGCGUAGGAUAGAGAAUAAAUGCCCUCAAGGGGCGUAGGGUACAGAAUAAAUGCCCUUAAGGGGCACAAAAUAAAGAAUAAACGUCCUUAAGGGGCGUAGGGUACAGAAUAAAUGUCCUUAAGGGCACAAAAUAAAGAAUAAACGUCCUUAAGAGGUGUUGGAUAGAGAAUAAACGUCCUCGAGGGGCGCAGGAUGCAGAAUAAAUGCCCCUAAGGGACGCAGAAUAAGGAAUAAACGUCUUUAAGGGGCACAAAAUAAAGAAUAAACGUCCUUAAGGGGCGUAGGGUACAGAAUAAAUGUCCUUAAGGGGCACAAAAUAAAGAAUAAAUGUCCUUAAGGGGCAUAGGAUAGAGAAUAAACGUCCUCAAGGGGUCUAGGGUACAGAAUAAAUGCCCUUAAGGGGCGUAGGAUAGAGAAUAAAUGUCCUUAAGGGGCACAAAAUAAAGAAUAAACGUCCUUAAGAGGUGUUGGAUAGAGAAUAAACGUCCUCGAGGGGCGUAGGAUGCAGAAUAAAUGCCCCUAAGGGACGCAGAAUAAGGAAUAAACAUCUUUAAGGGGCAUAGGAUAGAGAAUAAACGUCCUUAAGGGGCAUAGGAUAAAGAAUAAACGUCCUCAAGGGGUGUAGGAUACAGAAUAAAUGCCCUUAAGGGGUGUAGGAUGCAGAAUAAAUGUCCUCAAGGGGCGAAGGGUACGGAAUAAAUGUCCUUAAAGGGCGCAGGAUAAAGAAUAAACAUCCUUAAGGGGCGCAAAAUAAAGAAUAAACGUCCUUAAGGGGCAUAGAAUACAGAAUAAAUGCCCUUAAGGGGUGUAGGAUAAGGAAUAAACGCCUUUAAGGGGCACAAAAUAAAGAAUAAACGUCUUUAAGGGGUGUAGUAUAGAGAAUAAAUGCCCUUAAGGGGCGUAGAAUAAGGAAUAAAUGUCCUUAAGGGGCACCAAAUAAAGAAUAAAUGCCCUUAAGGGGCAUAGGAUACAGAAUAAAUGCCCUUAAGGGGCACAGAAUAAGGAAUAAACGUCCUUAAGGGGCGCAAAAUGAAAAAGAAAUGUCCUUAAGGAGCGUAGGAUGAAGGAUAUACGUCCUUAAAAGGUGUAGGAUACAAAAUAAACGUCCUUAAGGGGCACAAAAU